AUCUUGCUUCCUUUCCAGUCGGUCGUGACCGCGGUCCACAGAGGCUUGAGCCAUGAGGCUACUACCCAGAGCCGGACUCCUUUCGAGAUUUUAUUCCCUCAAAGUUGCCCCCAAAGUUAAAGCCGCAGCCGCCCCUGCAGGAGUGCCUCUACAUCCUCAGGACCUUGAGUUUACCAAAUUACCAAAUGGUUUGGUGAUUGCAUCUCUGGAAAACUAUGCUCCUGUGUGCAGAAUUGGUGUGUUCAUUAAAGCCGGCAGUCGAUAUGAGGACUCCAGCAACUUAGGGACCUCUCACUUGCUGCGCCUUGCGUCCAGCUUGACUACAAAAGGUGCUUCUUCUUUCAAGAUAACACGUGGAAUUGAAGCAGUUGGUGGUAAAUUAAGUGUGACUGCAACGAGGGAGAGCAUGGCAUACACCGUGGAGGGCCUGCGGGACGACUUUGAGAUCUUAAUGGAGUUCCUGCUAAACGUGACCACAGCACCAGAAUUCCGUCGUUGGGAAGUAGCUGAUCUUCAGCCACAGCUAAGAGUUGACAAAGCCGUGGCUUUUCAGAACCCACAAACUCGUGUCAUUGAAAAUUUGCAUGCUGUUGCUUACCGGAAUGCCUUGGCUAAUCCCUUAUAUUGUCCUGACUAUAGAAUUGGCAAAGUGACAUCAGAGGAGGUAACUGGUAAAACGUACUCAUCUAAACAUUAAAUUGAGGGCCGGGGAGAUGGCUCAGUAGAAUAAGC